GACACCUGUGGUCAGCCAAGGAAAAAAGUUCUGUGAGCAGCCGGAUUGGAACUGAACCCAGACACUGGACCCUUCUGCACAGGUUGAAAUGACUGUGGCUGGAAUAGUUAAGAAUUGCAAGCCAAAUCUUGCCAGUCCAUGCUUUGAAGUGACCCCAAUACCUCUAGCUGUCAAAGGGCAGUCAAAUGACUUCAAGAACCUGUCUUUGAGAAUGCAAAAUACUCUUUCACGAAUAAAACAGUUCAGACCUACCAGGAGGACAAAAUAAAGUCUCUAAAGAUUUCGUACAAUGAACAUGUGAAAGACAUUGUUUCAUCUCCAUGUAGCAAUACAGAAAGUACUGGGUACGCGGGAACUCUCUUUUAUAGCCAGUAUAAAAUGUCAGGAAAAAAUACAACAGUCUGAAACAUAUUUGAAAGAUAACUUUUCAAACCGUGUGUUCACUGUCAAAGAGAAAUCUGAGUACUACGAGCAAAUGCCAAGUGAUUCAUACCAUAGCUGGAUCACAGGGAUAUGUGUCCUCCCUGGACAGGUCCUGGUUGUAGAUCGGGAACAUAAAAAAGUCAUUCUGCUGGACCAGCAGUGCCAGGUGAGUCACUGUGGUGUGUCUGAUUAUCCAAUGGGCAUGUGUGAGAUCACAUCCAGUGAGGUGGCAGUGACUGUGAAUCGUUGUGUCCAGUUUAUCACAGUCACCCAGAGCCAGCUGGUGACAGGAAGAAAGCUUCAGUUUCAACAUAGAUGUUACGGUAUUGCCAUUCACAAAGGUGACCUGUUCAUUUGCUCGGGGAAUGCACUGUUCAAAGUACUCAUUGAGUGGAAAAAUGAUCCAUCAACUGUAUGAGGAUAGAUCCGGUGCUGUUUACGUACGUGAGUGUGCUGUGAGUCCCACGGAGGACAAGCUGCACAUUAUCAACUGGUACAAGCUGCAGUACGUGAGUGUGCUGUGAGUCCCACGGGGGGCAAGCUGCACAUUAUCAACUGGUACAAGCUCCUCACUGUGAGUCUCAUGGGGGACAAGCUGCACAUUAUCAACUGGUACAAGCCCCUCACUCUGGCCAGGGAUUGACAGUGAGGGGAGAAUUAAGCUGGCCACUCUAGCCACUGAAAGGGAUGGAGUGUGGUUUCCAUACUCAGUCUGCUACAGCAGCACCACAUCGCCCAUAAUUGUAGGGCAGCUGGGGAAAAAUAUAAUCCUUGUGUUCAGAGUGGAAUAGUGUGAACAUGCAUGAAAUGGUUGUUGUAAUCUGUGAUUAACAUUACCAUUUUAAUUUAGUGUUUUGUAUUAGAAUGUCUUUUGUGAUGAAUUACAAACUGAACAUGUUGGAAUGAUUUCAGAUACUUUUUUGUUUUUAGCUCACCUGAGCACAACGUGCUCAUGGUGAGCUUUUGUGAUCGCCUUUUGUCCGUCGUGCAUUGUCGGUUGUGCGUUGUGCCGCGUCAAGAUUUGCCUUGUUAACUCUCUAGAGGCCACAUUUAUUGUCCAAUCUUCAUGAAAUUCGGUCAGAAGAUUGGUCUCAAUGAUAUCUUGGACGAGUUUGAAAAUGGUUACAUUUGCUUGAAAAACAUGGCUGCCAAGGGGCGGGGCAUUUUUUUCUUAUAUGGCAAUAUAUGGCUAUAGUAAAAUCUUGUUAACACUCUAAAGGCCACAUUUAUUGUCUGAUCUUCAUGAAACUUGGUCAGAAGAUUCAUCCCAACAAUAUCUUGGACAAGUUCGAAAAUGAUGCCGGUUGGUUGAAAAACAUGGCCGCCAGGGGGCGGGGCAUUUUUCUUAUAUGGCUAUAGUAAAACCUUGUGUAAACUCUAGAGGCCACUUUUAUUUUCCGAUCUUCAUGAAACUUUCUCAGAAGAUUUGUCCCAAUGAUAUCUUUAAAGAAUUAAAAAACGGUAACCUUUGCUUGAAAAACAUGGCUGCCAAGGGGUGGGGCAUUUUUCCUUAUAUGGCUAUAUAUGGCUAUUGUAAAACCUUGUUAACACUCUAGAGGCGACAUUUAUUUUCCAAUCUUUAUGAAUUAUGGUCAGAAGAUUUGUCUUAUUGAUAUCUUGGAUGAUUCAGGAAAUGGUUACGUUUGCUUGAAAAACAUGGCUGCCAAGGGGCGGGGCAUUUUUCCUUAUAUGGCUAUAGUAAAAUCUUGUUAACAUUUUAGAGGCCACAUUUAUAGUCUGAUCUUUAUGAAACUAGGUCAGAAGAUUCAUCCCAAUAAUAUCUUGGAUGAUGCCGGUUGGUUGCAAAACAUGGCAAACACGGGGUGGGGCAUUUUUCCUUAUAUGGCUAUAGUAAAACCUUGUUAACACUCUAGAGGUCACAUUUAUUUUCCGAUAAUCAUGAAACUUGGUCAAAAGAUUUAUCCCAAUGAUAUCUUGGAUGAGUUCGAAAAUGGUUUUGGUUGCUUAAAAACAUGGCCACCUGCGGCAGGGCAUUUUUCCUUAUAUGGCUACAUAUGGCUAUAGUUAAAACUUGUUAACACUCUGGAGGCCACAUUUAUUUUCCAAUCUUCACAAAAUUUGGUAAGAAGAUUGGUCUCAAUGAUAUCUUGGACGAGUUCGAAAAUAAAUAUGUUUGCUUGAAAAAAAUGGCUUCCAAGGGGCGGGGCAGUUUUUCCUUAUAUGGCUUUAGUAAAAUCUUGUUAACACUCUAGUUUUGUUUUUUGUCUCUAAAAUAUACAAAAUCUUGGUGUAAAUGGUUUGUUUUGUUGAAUCUAAUUUUUUUUAACUAAAUCUAAUGACUUUAUAGUUCUUUCCCAAUAAUAUGACCAAUCUCCAAGCAUCGACUAAUAUAACAACUUCCUUUGAACUGAUAUAAAAAUAUAUAUCAAGCAACAUUAUAUCAGACAGAUAUCAAUGCAGGGUAUGAUAAAAUCAAUUAUUUGUUUUUACCCUUACUUGUUACAUUUCAGUUUUCAAAACAUGGAUGAGUUCGAAAAUGGUUUUGGUUGCUUAAAAACAUGGCCACCUGCGGCAGGGCAUUUUUCCUUAUAUGGCUACAUAUGGCUAUAGUUAAAACUUGUUAACACUCUGGAGGCCACAUUUAUUUUCCAAUCUUCACAAAAUUUGGUCAGAAGAUUGGUCUCAAUGAUAUCUUGGAUGAGUUUGAAAAUUAUUAUGUUUGCUUGAAAAACAUUGCUUCCAAGAGGCAGGGCAUUUUUCCUUAUAUGGCUAUAGUAAAAUCUUGUUAACACUCUUGAGGCCUUAUUUUCUGUCCGAUCUUCAUGAAACUUGGUCAUCCUGAUAAUAUCUUGGAAGAGUUUAAAAUUGAUGCCGGUUUGUUGAAAAGUAUGACUGCCAGGGAGCUGGGUAUUUUUCCUCAUAUGGCUAUAGUCAAACCUUGUUUACACUCUAGUGGCCACAUUUAUUUUCCGAUCUUCAUGAAACUUGGUCAGAACAUUUGUCCCAAUAAUAUCUUGUUAUCUCAGGUGAGCGACUUUGGGCCUUUUAGGCCCUCUUGUUUACUCAUACUUUUAUUUGAAUGUAAUAUUAAAGUGUUUAUAAAACAUCGUGAACUAAUAAACAGUGCGUAAGUUGUAACUUUCAUGGAAAUUACUUUUGUAUUUGAUAGUUAAGUGGCAAGUUAUCAUGCACUCAAGAGUGUGUCAAGGGACAAAAACAAUUUUAAUUUCAAAGGUUAUGUUUGUUCAAUAUACAUUUUACAUUAACUAAUGCUAUUUUUAGGUGGCCAUUACUACAUACAUGUUAGGAAAUAAUAUCGAUCAAUCGCAAAACUUGAUGUUAUAUAAGUACUUUUUUUAUUAAUAAAGAUGUUUUAUUAUCUUAUUUAAAAAGACUUUGAUACAAGAUCAAAGUUAGAUUGACUGAAAGGAUAGAAAAUAAUGUAAAUUUAUAUGAUGUUAAAGGCUGAUGGUGGCUAAGAAUUGUCCAUUUUUAAGUUGAUUAUUAUGCUUGAAGUUUUAUUGAUCAGAAUUUACUAAAUCAGACAAUUUAUAAUGUAUGCAUUCUGAUUGAGGCAUUCACAUAUUUUAACAAUAUUUGUGCUUGGUUCUGAAACACAAAUAACAGAUUAAUUUUAGUUUGUCUUUUGCUAAAGAAAAAUACCUGUACUUACUUUUUAUGUUCCCCGAAAAUUUUCGGGGAGCAUAUAGUUGCCAAUUUUUCCUUUCUUACUUCCUUCUUCACACUUUUGUUACAGUUUCUCAUGGCGCCUUCAAUAUUUUACCGAUUUCUUACAUAUUUGGCAUGUAGGUACCUUGCAUGGACCUCUACCUUUUGAUGAGGUUUUAAAUUACAGUGGGAUCAAGGUCAAGUUCACCGAGGCUAAUGAUAGAUUUUCUCAAUGUCAAACAAGGUGAGCAUUUAUCGUUUUUAACGAUGCUUGUUUUGGGUCAGUUUUCAUCCACAAAGCGUUCAUUACCACAUAACUGUAUUAUUCAUUUAUAGUAUUGCCUCAUAUGCUACACAAUUGUGAUAUGGCAUGAGAAGAUGACUGGUAAUAUAUACAUGUUUGUUUAACCCAGUAUGGGAUGUAUUCAGUUUUAUGUUCCUUAUUAGCUUGUCAUUAUUUAUUUGCUUUGUUGAUGUGCACUUUAUAUUGUACAUUAAAUACCGGGGAAUAAGCGAAAAAAUGGACAACAAAUAAGCCCACUGUUGAAAAUAAAUCUAUUGAACAUAAUCCAUAUUCAUAUUUCAUUGUGCCUUUAAUAUGUCUUUUAGGAGUUUAAAAAGUAACACAUCUGGUGAAUUUUCUGUGAAUCUGACAUUUACGAAAAAUUUGGUAUGUAGCAAAUGCAUAGUACAGCUGUUCCCAUUUGCGGAGCAUUCUAAGGAUGUGAAUCCAACUAUAAUUAUUAAUAAAUCAACGUGACACCUUUCUCCGUUUAGACUUGAAUAUUUGCUAUUGCCGCCAAGGUCUUCACUUGAUUUGGCUUCAUAUCUUGGAUAUUGAUUACCGGUUUAAAUUAUAAAUGUGUUAUCAAAUUAAUUACUGUAAAGAUUGUUUCACUGAAAUACUCUUUACAUACUUUUAUUUGAUUUAAAUGCAGAUAUAUUAAGUUGUAUUGAUCUUUAAAAGACAGUGUCAGUUUAGUCAAUUGUCCGAGUUUUUUAUAAUUAUCUACAGCUCUGUUCGAAUGAAAUUGAGGAACACACUAUUAUAUGCAGACAUAAAGGCCAUCACCUCUGCCUAAAACAUGCUCAAGUUUUGCCCCUAUGCUGUCCUGUCUGAUGGGAGCGACUACCUUUCUUAAGCUCACAUCAACCUCCAAAAUUCUGCACACAUAACAACUGUUUUAAUUAGAACCUGGGCAUCAUACAAAUACCUGUAGAACAUGUAAUAUUUAAUCAAAACAAGAAAUAUUUAAUGUUUAGUCAUAUGAGAAAAGACAAUGUCAGAUUGAACUAGGUCAAAAAAGGGAUUGUGUUGUUAACUCACCUAAGCAUGAAGUGCUCCUUGUGAGCUAUUGUGGUCACCCUAUUUCUGGUGUGGCCUGUGGUAAACUGUGGCCUCUGGGUCAUGUGUGUCCAAAAACUAGGCCACCAUGUCAAAUUGUAGGAAAACCUUGUUAUCACUCUAGAGGCGAAAUUUAUUAUUCAAUCUUGAUGAAACUUGGUCAGAAAGUUUAUAUGGACAAUAUAUAGGAAGAGUUUGAAUAUGGGUCAUGUGUAUUUAAAAACAAGGAAAACAGGUCAAAUCUUAGGAAAAUCUUGUUUUCACUCUGGAGGCCUUAAUUAUUUAUAAUUUCAUCUUGAUCAGUAUGUUUAUCUUUACGUUAUCUAGGCUUAGUUGGAAUCUGGUAAACAUCAUCCAAAAACUAAAUCACAAGGUAAAAUCUUAGUUAAAACUUGUUAUCCAUCUAAAGGCCCCAUUUAUGACUCAAUCUUGAUGCAUUUUGGUCAGAAUGUCUAUCUUGACCGUGUCUAGUCAAUCUUGAUGCAUUUUGGUCAGAAUGUCUAUCUUGACCAUGUCUAGGCUAAGUUUGAAUCUUUGUCAAUUGAAUAUAAAAUCUGGGUCUUUAAACCCGUCUGUAGAUCUGCCGUGGAAUCAUAUGGAAUUCUAUGGAAAUCGUUAGAUGGAAUUCCGUGGAGUAUUGGCACUAACUUUCCAUCCGAUUCCAUGCAAUCAAUGGAAAAGUGAAAAAAAAACAAGGGAGGGACUUGAUAUGGGAUGGAAUUCCAUAAAAUGCCGUGGAAUUCCAUAGAAUUUCGUGGCAUUCCAUAUAAUGCCGUGGAAUUCCAUAGAAUGCCGUGGAAUUCCAUAGAAUGCCGUGGAAUUCCAUAGAAUGCCGUGGAAUUCCAUAGAACGCCGUGGAAUUCCAUAGAACGCCAUGGAAUUCCAUAGAAUGCUGUGGAAUUCCAUAGAAUGCCGUGGAAUUCCAUAGAAUUAUAUGGAAUUCCGUGAAAAGCUAUGGAAUUUAAUAAAAAGCUGGAAUAAAAUAGAAAAAAACAGAUUAAAGAUCAAAGGCAUUUCAUUGAUUUUGAUAAACAAAUGUGAAUGUAACUAAAGGUUUCAUCAUAGAAGUUAAACAAGAACAAGAUCUGGCAUCAAUCAUUAACCACACACAUGCAGUCACAGUACAUAUUCAAAAAUGAGUGGUUUUACAUUUUCAUAAAGUACCAACUCUCUUAACCACAGGCAUGCAUGCACACAUUCAAAAACACAUCCAUAAACAUGCACGCAUAUACAGGUGAGAAAAGAAAAACUUAUAAAAGGCACAAUAUAAAACAUAGAAGUAGAAUUUUACAUUUCUCUUAUGACAAGUAUACUUCCUUUCUCACAUAUGUUCAUAAACACACACAAUUACAUGCACUGUCACACAUCACGCACAAUUGUUCUAGA